rnacentral:rRNA from 1 species
GCGAAGCCUGAUGCAGCCAUGCCGCGUGUAUGAAGAAGGCCUUCGGGUUGUAAAGUACUUUCAGUUGUGAGGAAGGGGGUGUUGUUAAUAGCAGCUAUCUCUUGACGUUAGCAACAGAAGAAGCACCGGCUAACUCCGUGCCAGCAGCCGCGGUAAUACGGAGGGUGCGAGCGUUAAUCGGAAUUACUGGGCGUAAAGCGCAUGCAGGUGGUUCAUUAAGUCAGAUGUGAAAGCCCGGGGCUCAACCUCGGAACUGCAUUUGAAACUGGUGAACUAGAGUACUGUAGAGGGGGGUAGAAUUUCAGGUGUAGCGGUGAAAUGCGUAGAGAUCUGAAGGAAUACCAGUGGCGAAGGCGGCCCCCUGGACAGAUACUGACACUCAGAUGCGAAAGCGUGGGGAGCAAACAGGAUUAGAUACCCUGGUAGUCCACGCCGUAAACGAUGUCUACUUGGAGGUUGUGGCCUUGAGCCGUGGCUUUCGGAGCUAACGCGUUAAGUAGACCGCCUGGGGAGUACGGUCGCAAGAUUAAAACUCA